UUAGGAAUCUUGCGCAAUGGGCGAAAGCCUGACGCAGCAACGCCGCGUGGGGGAUGAAGGCUCUCGGGUUGUAAACCCCUUUCAGCAGGGACGAUUGUGACGGUACCUGCAGAAGAAGGACCGGCCAACUACGUGCCAGCAGCCGCGGUAAUACGAGGGGGGCGAGCGUUGUUCGGAAUUAUUGGGCGUAAAGGGUGCGUAGGCGGUUUGGUAAGUCUUUUGUGAAAUCUCUGGGCUCAACUCAGAGUCUGCAGGAGAAACUGCCGGGCUGGAGUGUGGGAGAGGUGAGUGGAAUUUCCGGUGUAGCGGUGAAAUGCGUAGAUAUCGGAAGGAACACCUGUGGCGAAAGCGGCUCACUGGACCACAACUGACGCUGAUGCACGAAAGCUAGGGGAGCAAAC
rnacentral:rRNA from 1 species